rnacentral:rRNA from 1 species
CGGGCCUACGGGACGCAGCAGUGGGGAAUAUUGCACAAUGGGCGAAAGCCUGAUGCAGCGACGCCGCGUGAAGGAUGAAGUAUUUCGGUAUGUAAAGCUCUAUCAGCAGGGAAGAAGAAAGACGGUACCUGACUAAGAAGCCCCGGCUAACUACGUGCCAGCAGCCGCGGUAAUACGUAGGAGGCAAGCGUUAUCCGGAUUUACUGGGUGUAAAGGGAGCGUAGACGGCAUAGCAAGUCUGAAGUGAAAGCCCGUGGCUCAACCGCGGAACUGCUUUGGAAACUGUUAAGCUGGAGUACUGGAGG